UAGUCCACACCGUAAACGUUGGGCGCUAGGUGUGGGAUCCAUUCCACGGGUUCCGUGCCGCAGCUAACGCAUUAAGCGCCCCGCCUGGGGAGUACGGCCGCAAGGCUAAAACUCAAAGGAAUUGACGGGGCCCGCACAAGCGGCGGAGCAUGCGGAUUAAUUCGAUGCAACGCGAAGAACCUUACCUGGGUUUGACAUGUGGAGUAAUCCCUCAGAGAUGGGGGGUCCUUUAGUGGGCUCCAUGCAGGUGGUGCAUGGCUGUCGUCAGCUCGUGUCGUGAGAUGUUGGGUUAAGUCCCGCAACGAGCGCAACCCUCGUCCUGUGUUGCCAGCACGCCCUUCGGGGUGUGGGGACUCAUGGGAGACUGCCGGGGUCAACUCGGAGGAAGGUGGGGAUGACGUCAAGUCAUCAUGCCCCUUAUGUCCAGGGGCUUCACGCAUGCUACAAUGGCCGGUACAAAGGGGCUGCGAUGCCGUAAGGGUGGGAGCGAAUCCCAAAAAGCCGGGU
rnacentral:rRNA from 1 species